rnacentral:rRNA from 1 species
UACGUGUGCCCCGAGCGUUAUCCGGAAUUAUUGGGCGUAAAGGGUCCGUAGGCUGUUUAAUUAGUCUUUCGUUAAAGCACCAGGCUCAACCUGGGACAAGCGAAGGAAACGGUUAAACUAGAGAGUAAGAGAGGUGUAUGGAACUAAUGGUGUAGGGGUAAAAUCCGUUGAUAUCAUUGGGAACACCAAAAGCGAAGGCAAUACACUGGCUUACUUCUGACGCUAAGGGACGAAACCCUGGGUAGCGAAUGGGAUUAGAUACCCCAGUAGUCCAGGGCCUAAACGAUGUAUACUAGCUUUUAGAUCUAUCGAUCGGUUUAGAGGCGAAGCUAACGCGUUAAGUAUACCGCCUGGGGAGUACGGUCGCAAGGCUGAAACUUAAAGGAAUAGACGGGGACUCGCACAAGCGGUGGAUCAUGUGGCUUAAUUCGAUGAUCCACGAAAAACCUCACCAAGACUAGACAUUAUAGUCAUGCCUUUUUAGAAACAUUAAGGAUAUUGAGCUAUAACAGGUGUUGCAUGGCCGUCGUCAGUUCGUGGCUUGAGCUGUUCCCUUAAGUGGGGAAACGAACGCAACCCUCGUCGUUUGUUGUAUUUAUCAAACGAGACUGCCUCGCACUGAGAAUUUAAAAAUUAUUUUAAAUCUUCAGUGCGGGGAGGAAGGCGGGGAUGACGCCAGGUCAGCAUGGCCCUAGAUGUCUUGGGCUGCACACAUGAUACAAUGGGUAGGACAACGGGAAGCGACAGAGUAAUCUUGAGCAAAUCCUUCAAACCUAUCCUCAGUUCGGAUUGGGGGCUGAAACUCGACCCCAUGAAGUUGGAAUCGCUAGUAAUCGCAGGUCAGAUAUCUC